CUACGGGUGGCUGCAGUUAGGAAUAAUCUACAAUGCGCGAAAGCGUGAUAGUUUGAGCCAGAGUGUUUUUCAAUUGAAAGACUUUUGUGAAAUGUAAAAAGUUUCACGAAUAAGGACUGGGUAAGACUAGUGCCAGCCGCCGCGGUAAUACUAGCGGUCCAAGUCGCAACCAUUUUUAUUGGGUCUAAAACAUCCGUAGCUUGCUUGACAAGUCUUCUGUGAAAUUUUACGUCUAAAACGUAGAGCGCGCAGAAGGUACUAUCAAGCUAGAGACCGGAAGACGUAAGAAGUACAUUCAGAGUAGCGGUUAAAUGUGUUAAUCCUGGAUGGACUAACAAGAGCGAAGGCAUCUUACGAGGACGGUUCUGACAGUAAGGGAUGAAAGCUAGGGGCGCAAAUGGGAUUAGAUACCCCGGUAGUC
rnacentral:rRNA from 1 species